rnacentral:tRNA from 1 species
CAGAGAAUAGUUUAAUUAAAAUUUUAAUUUUGGAGAUUAAAGAUGGAUAUAAAUAUCUUUCUCUGA